GCGUAGCAAUACGUCAGCGGCAGACGGGUGAGUAACGCGUGGGAACGUACCUUUUGGUUCGGAACAACACAGGGAAACUUGUGCUAAUACCGGAUAAGCCCUUACGGGGAAAGAUUUAUCGCCGAAAGAUCGGCCCGCGUCUGAUUAGCUAGUUGGUGAGGUAAUGGCUCACCAAGGCGACGAUCAGUAGCUGGUCUGAGAGGAUGAUCAGCCACAUUGGGACUGAGACACGGCCCAAACUCCUACGGGAGGCAGCAGUGGGGAAUAUUGGACAAUGGGCGCAAGCCUGAUCCAGCCAUGCCGCGUGAGUGAUGAAGGCCCUAGGGUUGUAAAGCUCUUUUGUGCGGGAAGAUAAUGACGGUACCGCAAGAAUAAGCCCCGGCUAACUUCGUGCCAGCAGCCGCGGUAAUACGAAGGGGGCUAGCGUUGCUCGGAAUCACUGGGCGUAAAGGGUGCGUAGGCGGGUCUUUAAGUCAGGGGUGAAAUCCUGGAGCUCAACUCCAGAACUGCCUUUGAUACUGAAGAUCUUGAGUUCGGGAGAGGUGAGUGGAACUGCGAGUGUAGAGGUGAAAUUCGUAGAUAUUCGCAAGAACACCAGUGGCGAAGGCGGCUCACUGGCCCGAUACUGACGCUGAGC
rnacentral:rRNA from 1 species